ACAAUCACAGAAGCACUACAGAAACACUGCUAACCAAACAGCAGUGCUAGGUGGCUGUACUACAGAAACACUGCUAACCAAACAACAGUGCUAGGUGGCUGUACUACAGAAACACUGCUAACCAAACAACAGUGCUAGGUGGCUGUACUACAGAAACACUGCUAACCAAACAACAGUGCUAGGUGGCUGUACUACAGAAACACUGCUAACCAAACAACAGUGCUAGGUGGCUGUACUACAGAAACACUGCUAACCAAACAACAGUGCUAGGUGGCUGUACUACAGAAACACUGCUAAUCAAACAACAGUGCUAGGUGGCUGUACUACAGAAACACUGCUAAUCAAACAACAGUGCUAGGUGGCUGUACUACAGAAACAC